UGUAACCCAAAUUUUGACUUCUGUCAUGUGUGCAUUUGCUACGUGCUUAAAAGUACAGGACAGCCUGUGCUGAAGGCCUCAGCUGAACUUUAGACUUAGAAGACUUUUAUAUCAAUAUGGAAAUAAGAAAAGUUAAAGAUAAAAGAUUUCCACGAAAUGUUUAUACUUCUAAAAACAGCAUGAUUCAGAGACGUUUAUAUUCCAUCACACGUCUGUUAUUUGGAGUCAUUCGAACCCCCCCCUGUGGGUUCUUAACAAAAGAGAACCAGACGAUUAAUCUUCUGAGGUAGGACAGUUGGACUUUGAACAUACAAUCUGCUGACCUUACGAAAUAGGGAACUGAAAUUAGGCUGCAAGGGCUAGGAUGUAUUUUCGGAGAAGGAUGACGACUGUUUUGAUAUCUGUUUGAGACGUGGCUGCAGAGACGUGGCAUGGGUUUGAUACAGAUUCGCAGGGCUAUAAGAGGAGGCAAAUUCACUCUCUCUCUCGCGCAGACUGAGUUCAGCCUAGACCCUUCUAGCUGGACUUAGUCUUUUCUCACCUUCUUUAUCUUUGAUUCCGGGCUCACUUGAAUACUUUGAACUUCUCUCAGGUUUUAUUCAUCUCAGAUAUGAUUAUUAUUAUAUUAUUUGUUAUUAUAUGAAUACUAUUAUAACUUUUGACUUUUGAUAUACAGGGUAUUGUUGUAUACUUUGUAUUAUUAUUUUUAACAUCUUGAUUACUUUUAAUAUUAUAAUGCAUUUUGUAUUACUUUUAAUUGGGCAGCAUCCAUCAUACAUGGAUUGCUUUUAAAACUAUAUUAAUUUUGGGAUUUGUAUUUUCUAUAUUUGAAGCUGAUUUUAAUACUUACUAAUCUGUUUGCAAGUUAUGAGUUGUAUUCUCAUUUCCUAUAUUCUUUGAAUAAAUUUGCAUACUAAAAUACCACCCCACCGUCUGACCAAGAUUGAAGUCUAAUUUUUUGCAUCAGUUUUGGAGGCACCGCUGGGAUCGUUGAAGUUUUCAUUUCAUUAAGUUUCGAUGCAACGCAAGACAAAAUAAAGAGAGGUAUGAGUGCAUGCUGAUACGGAACCUAUCCUGCGUACAUUUACCACACGACUGGUUCUAAGGGUGACCCUUUUGGUGUGACUUCUGCAACAGUGCAGCUCAUUGACGAUUCGGGAGAGGUUGCUGUGCUCGUAGCUGGACAUCAGUGUUUGAUCCCAAGAACUGGACGCAUCGUCAUCACAUCGCACGCUAACUCUACAUCAUCUGAGAGACUUGUGCUUUCAUCUACCAGCUGAUAUAUAGAUUUACAAAUCCCUACAUCAAGAUGCCUCACAAGAUUAUUGAUCAAAAAGAUUCUUUUACUCCUAUUGCUGUCAGCAAUGAUGAAGAAAUGUAUGAAUUAGAGGUGAAGGGUAAGGAAAGAUACGAGAUGUUGAAAAAGAUCAACGAAAGUUUGGAAAUUUGCGACAUGAUACCCCAAUCUGAUAAGGACAAAUAUCUUAAGAAGCUACCCAUUAAGAAGAGAAAGUAUGAUGAUAAGUUUAGAGAUGGAAAGAAGGGUAUGCUGUAGUAAGUCCUCGACCCAGCAAAAGUCCAGGUGAGGUCAGGGGUCGGAUGCUUUUAGUGCUCCUCGUCUGAUCAGCUUGGUGAAGAAUUCCUGUCAACUUAACGCGGCUGGGGUUAAAGAGGUAUCUACAGUCUACCUGAAAAGAUUCAUUCACUUUUAUAUUUCCUUUAUGCUUACACGAUUAAGUGCUUAUCUGAAAUGUUUUACUUACUUAUUUUUCUGCAUAUGUAUUUGUUACCUUUGACUAUUAUGUAUCUUAUUUUCAAGGGAAAGGAUUUUGGGUGCGAGUCUUUUUGUCAAGACUCGAGUGGGGGACUGAUGUAACCCAAAUUUUGACUUCUGUCAUGUGUGCAUUUGCUACGUGCUUAAAAGUACAGGACAGCCUGUGCUGAAGGCCUCAGCUGAACUUUAGACUUAGAAGACUUUUAUAUCAAUAUGGAAAUAAGAAAAGUUAAAGAUAAAAGAUUUCCACGAAAUGUUUAUACUUCUAAAAACAGCAUGAUUCAGAGACGUUUAUAUUCCAUCACACGUCUGUUAUUUGGAGUCAUUCGAACCCCCCCCUGUGGGUUCUUAACAAAAGAGAACCAGACGAUUAAUCUUCUGAGGUAGGACAGUUGGACUUUGAACAUACAAUCUGCUGACCUUACGAAAUAGGGAACUGAAAUUAGGCUGCAAGGGCUAGGAUGUAUUUUCGGAGAAGGAUGACGACUGUUUUGAUAUCUGUUUGAGACGUGGCUGCAGAGACGUGGCAUGGGUUUGAUACAGAUUCGCAGGGCUAUAAGAGGAGGCAAAUUCACUCUCUCUCUCGCGCAGACUGAGUUCAGCCUAGACCCUUCUAGCUGGACUUAGUCUUUUCUCACCUUCUUUAUCUUUGAUUCCGGGCUCACUUGAAUACUUUGAACUUCUCUCAGGUUUUAUUCAUCUCAGAUAUGAUUAUUAUUAUAUUAUUUGUUAUUAUAUGAAUACUAUUAUAACUUUUGACUUUUGAUAUACAGGGUAUUGUUGUAUACUUUGUAUUAUUAUUUUUAACAUCUUGAUUACUUUUAAUAUUAUAAUGCAUUUUGUAUUACUUUUAAUUGGGCAGCAUCCAUCAUACAUGGAUUGCUUUUAAAACUAUAUUAAUUUUGGGAUUUGUAUUUUCUAUAUUUGAAGCUGAUUUUAAUACUUACUAAUCUGUUUGCAAGUUAUGAGUUGUAUUCUCAUUUCCUAUAUUCUUUGAAUAAAUUUGCAUACUAAAAUACCACCCCACCGUCUGACCAA